rnacentral:rRNA from 1 species
GACGAACGCUGGCGGCGUGCUUAACACAUGCAAGUCGAACGGUAAGGCCCCUUUGGUGGUACUCUAGUUGCGAACUGGUGAGUAACACGUGAGUAACCUGCCCUUUACUUCGUGAUAACUUCUGGCAACUGGGGCUAAUACCGGAUAGGAAUUCUUGCUGCAUGGUUGGGGUUGGAAAGCUUCGGCGGUUUUGGAUUGACUCGCGGCUUAUCAGCUUUUUUGUGGGGUUGUGGCUUACCAAGGCUUUGACGGGUAGCCGGCCUGAGAGGGCGACCGGCCACAUAGGGACUGAGAUAAGGCACAGACUGCUACGGGAGGAAGAAGUGGGGAAGAUUGAACAAUGGGCGGAAGGCUGAUGAAGAAACGCCGCGGGCGGGAUGACGGCCUUCGGGUUGUAAACCGCAUUAAGCAGGGGCGAAGCUUGUGGUGACGGUACCUGCAGAAGAAGCACCGGCUAACUACGUG